rnacentral:rRNA from 1 species
UACGUAGGUGGCAAGCGUUGUCCGGAAUUAUUGGGCGUAAAGAGCAUGUAGGCGGGAUUUUAAGUCUGUUGUUAAAAUGCGGGGCUCAACCCCGUAGUGCGAUGGAAACUGGAAUUCUUGAGUGCAGGAGAGGAAAGGGGAAUUCCCAGUGUAGCGGUGAAAUGCGUAGAUAUUGGGAGGAACACCAGUGGCGAAGGCGCCUUUCUGGACUGUGUCUGACGCUGAGAUGCGAAAGCUAGGGGAGCGAACG